UGAAAAUGAUAUUGAGGUUAGGAUGAGUGGCAAUCAACUACAAUGAUUGCGACUGAUUGUGCAAGUUUGCGUCCGUGCUCCCACAUGUCAUACCACGCCAUGCGGAAUUGCCAAGUCACCAUAUUGGUUAAUGGCGUUUGUUGGUUAGUUGCUGGCUGAUGUGGCGUUGCCAGCCCGUGAGCUCUGAGCAAGCAAUCAAUGAUUCGGUUUGGCCUGCUAUACAUAUAUGCGCGCGCUCUCUUCCGCUACCGCUCAGCGCCUCCUCGGUUGUGACAUGACUUAGCUGGCAUGCUACGGCGUAUUAUAAUGUUAUGGCGUUGUGUGGAAUCGAUUCCAUUUCGGAUCCGGAUUCACAGCACUCACAUCGUUAUCGCAAUCGCGUUGACUCACAAAGACUUGUGGUUGGUUGGUUGCUUAGUUGGCUGUUGUUGACUGUAUAGCUGAGUGGCUGAAUGGUGGUUCACUGUGUGUGGAUGUAGUUCUAGCUGUGGCUCCGCGCUGUGUGCGACUUCGAGGCGUAUUCGGUCGGCGGCUACGAGCGCUGCUAUAGCUAUAAUGAUUGCUGCAUUCAUCGAGGCAGUCGUCAGCCUGAGUUUCGCCAGAUUCGUUGUUUCGACGACUCGUUGCCUGGUGCUGUUGCUAAUUGCCCAACGAAAAAAACUUGCCACCAUUUUCUCGACAAGAACCGGAUGGAUGAGCAGCUGGAGCAGCUGUUUAUUGAAAUAGAUUUGCUUUUGUUUCGCAAAUUCCUAAUCGAUUCCACUGUCAAUGGCACGCAUGGUUGCGUAAACCUUUUUUGGCUUGUGGGAAGGUUCUUAAAAUACAUAAAAUACACAAAUAAAGUAUGUACUACUUGUUUGCUAAAUUGAUAAGUGAUAACAUGUGCUGAGGUGGCUAGCCCUGGGUAGUAGUAAGCACGUACAACGCACAUACAUAUAUACAUACCUAGAAAUAUUUAGUCAAGCCGAUCAGACGAGGAUGCGACCUGCGUUUUACUAUAGAAACAUUACAACAACAAAGCCGGUAAUAGCUACAUGCACAAGAGUGCACAGCGCAGAACACGAAAACGGGAGGAACAAAAUACAAACAACGAAGGUGUGGGUAAAGUAAAUAGGAAAGAAAUAUUAUUUCCAUUAAAACUGCAUAUGUGCAUAAAAGAAAAAAAGAAAAUAGAGAAACGAAAACAACUUGGAGAUCGCUAAUUUGGAAGUCGUGGAAUAUAUACACAGAUGAUUGCUCCUGAUAAACACUGAAUAACCGUACGUGAAGCUACGGUUCCAUCACUAGCUAGCUGGACCGCCACCAUUGACAGUCAUUAAAAAGGUAGCUGAUGGCCGUCUGGCAAUGAUUACUUCGCUGUCUCUUUCUGGCCAGCGUCCGGCGCGCAUGGUAGAAGUGCCUCAAGUAUAUAAUAGUUGCCAUUUCCUUUGCAGACGUACUGUGCUGUGCUGGGAAUUGGCGGCACCCAUGGUUGUAUUGAAUGCACGGAAAUCGUGGUGGCUUCGUGGUUGUUGGCAAUUGCGUUCGUUCCGUAGCUGUUAUCGUCGUUGCUGUAUAUCGAUUUGCUCACCAUCUUGGUACUUUACUUUGUGUUUCAAAUGAAUUCAUGCUGAUAACCUGUGCAAUUUGAGAGUCCAUAUAAAAUAAUUAACGUUGGUAUUUAUUUGCAGCUGUUGUACAUACCAUGUGAAUAUGUAUGUAUGUUCGUCGCUAGUUGGAAUUCAACAACUACAUAAGUAGCUACUGGCUAAAAGAAUCGAGAGCUAGAGCGUUGGGUACAAGUUAAAAUCAUCAAAGCAACAGCACUACCUAGUGGAGUAACCAAGCAGUUUCACCUUGGGAGUUGCAUAACAUGUUUGAGCAGCUGCCAACUGCUACGAUUAUUAAGCACGAUUAAGUUUGGACUGUUGAUGAAAUCAUUUUUAGGUUAUGUGUUCCAUAGUCACAAGUUGGUGUUUUUCACUCCAUUUUCGUAUUGCUCGUUUGGGCAGGUAGUUGUUUCAUGUUGCAGUAUUUUACAAAUAUAUAAUACAUAUCGUACGCAAAU
rnacentral:lncRNA from 1 species